GGUCAAUGAUGUCUUGGCAUGUAUUAGCUGAGCCGCCGCUGAUGCUUCCUACCCGGAAAGCUCUAGAAUUACUCUGAGACCGU
ensembl:snoRNA small nucleolar RNA, C/D box 45A